ensembl:lncRNA
GGAAAGCUGAACCCUGUGGGAGGUAACAACUAAUACUCAAGUUCUGUCUGAAAGUUAAUUGUACAUGAAUUCAAUAACCAUUUCUCAUUAGGAGGCUUUUUUUUAUGAAUGAUACUUCUUUGAACUGAGUAAGUAAACCCUGUGUAGCUGCUGACACCAAUGCAGUCCUAACCAGGAAGAGUGCCCAAGCACAGCAGCACCAUACUACCAGGAAAGAAAAAUCCAUGUCUAUUGUGGAAGACCUGGAAAAGAGAGCCAGAAUUUGAGGAUUGGAAGGAAGACAUGGCUCAGGGAAACUGUUGGAGCUGUGUGGUCUAUCUUUAGCAGCAGCAGAAUGGUUUUAAAAUGACUUAAUCUGCUUGAGGCAUUCUAAGAAACUCCAGAUUUGUGUGUGAUUCUACUAAUAUACACUAAUCAUGAUUCUGUGACUAAAAACGUUCAUGAGAAGAUCACAGGUGACUUAAGGGGAUAUAUUGCAUCAUGGAUCUUCCUUGAACCAAUCUAGACAGAAAGAUAUCCUUUACUGUUACUGAUGGGAUGGAAUGAGGCCAAGGCUGAUGGAGAGAACACUGACCAGAAUGCUGAGUUUUUUCAUGCAUUUUCCACGGAAAGAAUAUAAAGCAUCAAAGACUGAGGCCAGAGCCUUCCUUCAGGGUCUUGCUCAACCACUUCUGUGCAACUGGAAUUUUGUUUUUCAGUUUCCUUUUUGGUUCAUACACACAGGCCAUUCUUCUCACUUAGA